rnacentral:lncRNA from 1 species
AAUGAGACCCAGUGUAUAAUUUUAGCCAUAGUCAGAGGGUAUAAAUGACACUCCUCGGUGUAAGAAAAGCCAGAAAGGCAGUACAAGAUGCCUACACAAAACUGACCAUGUAUUACAACUGAAGAUGGAUGUAAACCAGAGCAGCUCCUUGUCAUCAUGAGAAUCCUCUCUGACAAAGAUUAAAAUUUCACUACAAAAGGAGUGAAAGAAGGAGACAGUGAAACAAC